UGGGGAAUAUUGCACAAUGGAGGGAACUCUGAUGUAGCGACGCCGCGUGAGUGAUGAAGGAAUUCGUUUCGUAAAACUCUGUUCUAUGGGAAGAAAAGGACUGUACCAUAGGAGAAAGCUCCGGCUAAAUACGUGCCAGCAGCCGCGGUAAUACGUAUGGAGCGAGCGUUGUCCGGAAUUAUUGGGCGUAAAGGGUGCGCAGGCGGCUUUACAAGUUGGAUGUGAAAUAUUGUGGCUCAACCACAAACGUGCAUCCAAAACUGCAAAGCUUGAGUUAAGGAGAGGUAAGUGGAAUUCCUGGUGUAGCGGUGGAAUGCGUAGAUAUCAGGAGGAAUACCGGUGGCGAAGGCGACUUACUGGACUUAAACUGACGCUCAGGCACGAAAGCGUGGGGAGCAAACAGG
rnacentral:rRNA from 1 species